rnacentral:rRNA from 1 species
UACGUAGGGUGCAAGCGUUGUCCGGAAUUAUUGGGCGUAAAGAGCGCGUAGGCGGUCCGAUAAGUCGGCUGUGAAAGUCCAGGGCUCAACCCUGGAAAGCCGGCCGAUACUGUCGGACUAGAGUCCGGAAGAGGCAAGUGGAAUUCCCGGUGUAGCGGUGAAAUGCGCAGAUAUCGGGAGGAACACCAAUUGCGAAGGCAGCUUGCUGGGACGGUACUGACGCUGAGGCGCGAAAGCGUGGGGAGCAAACAGG